rnacentral:rRNA from 1 species
AGCGAACGCUGGCGGCAGGCUUAACACAUGCAAGUCGAGCGCCGUAGCAAUACGGAGCGGCAGACGGGUGAGUAAUGCUUAGGAAUCUGCCUAUUAGUGGGGGACAACAUCUCGAAAGGGAUGCUAAUACCGCAUACGUCCUACGGGAGAAAGCAGGGGAUCACUUGUGACCUUGCGCUAAUAGAUGAGCCUAAGUCGGAUUAGCUAGUUGGUGGGGUAAAGGCCUACCAAGGCGACGAUCUGUAGCGGGUCUGAGAGGAUGAUCCGCCACACUGGGACUGAGACACGGCCCAGACUCCUACGGGAGGCAGCAGUGGGGAAUAUUGGACAAUGGGGGGAACCCUGAUCCAGCCAUGCCGCGUGUGUGAAGAAGGCCUUAUGGUUGUAAAGCACUUUAAGCGAGGAGGAGGCUCUUUUGGUUAAUACCCAAGAUGAGUGGACGUUACUCGCAGAAUAAGCACCGGCUAACUCUGUGCCAGCCGCCGCAGUAAAAC